rnacentral:tRNA from 1 species
GGUCAUGUGGUGAAGUAGUCUAACACGGCGGUCUGCAAAACCGCUAUUCGCGGGUGCGAAUCCCGCCAUGACCUCCA